rnacentral:rRNA from 1 species
GACGAACGCUGGCGGCAUGCCUAACACAUGCAAGUCUAGGGGUAGCAAUACCACUGGCGCACGGGUGAGUAACACGUAGGUUAUCUGCCCCCAUCACAGACAUAACCCCGGGAAACCGGGGCUAAUAUCUGAUGAGGUCGCGAGAUCAAAGCUUCGGCGGAUGGGGAUGAGCCUGCGGCUGAUUAGCUAGUUGGUGAGGUAAUGGCUCACCAAGGCGACGAUCAGUAGCUGGUCUGAGAGGACGAACAGCCACACUGGAACUGAGACACGGUCCAGACUCCUACGGGAGGCAGCAGUGAGGAAUAUUGGUCAAUGGGAGCAAUCCUGAACCAGCAAUGCCGCGUGUGGGAUGACAGGGCUUCGCCUUGUAAACCACUGUCGGACGGGACGAAAGGAGGCCUCGGGGCCUCUGGGACGGUACCGUCAAAGGAAGGGUCGGCGUAACUACGUGCCAGCAGCCGCGGU